rnacentral:rRNA from 1 species
GACGAACGCUGGCGGCGUGCCUAACACAUGCAAGUCGAACGGAAAGGCCCUGCUUUUGUGGGGUGCCCGAGUGGCGAACGGGUGAGUAACACGUGAGUAUCCUGCCCUUGACUUUGGGAUAACUUCAGGAAACUGGGGCUAAUACCGGAUAGGAGCUCCUGCUGCAUGGGGGGGGUUGGAAAGUUUCGGCGGUUGGGGAUGGACUCGCGGGUUACCAGCUUGUUGGUGGGGUAGUGGCUUACCCAGGGUUUGACGGGUAGCCGGCAUGGGAGGGUGACCGGCCACAAUGGGACUGAGGUACGGCCCAGUGGCCUACGGGGGACAGAAGUGGGAAGUAUUGCACAGUGGGCGGGAGCCUGAUACGGCGGCGCCGCGUGCGGAAUGACGGCCUUCGGGUUGUAAACCGCUUUCGCCUGUGACGAAGCGUGAGUGACGGUAAUGGGUAAAGAAGCACCGGCUAACUACGUG